GACGAACGCUGGCGGCGUGCUUAACACAUGCAAGUCGAACGGACAGGCCCUGCUUUUGUGGGGUUCUCGAGUGGCGAACGCGUGAGUAACACGUGUGUAACCUGUCCUUGACUUUGGGAUAACUUCCGGAAACUGGGGCUAAUACCGGAUAGGAGCACCUGCUGCAUGGUGGGGGUUGGAAAGUUUCGGCGGUUGGGGAUGGAUUCGAGGCUUAUCAGCUUGUUGGCGGGGUAGUGGCUUACCAAGGCAGUGACGGGUAGCCGGCACGAGAGGGUGACCGGCGACAUUGGGACUGAGAGAGGGCGCAGAAGCGUACGGGAGGCAGUAGUGGGGAAUAUGGCGCAGUGGGCGGAAGCGUGAUGUAGCAACGCCGCGUGCGUGAUGCCGGCUUUCGGGUUGUAAACCGCUUUCGACUGAGACGAAGCGGGAGUGACGGUAAUGGGUAAAGAAGCACCGGCUAACUACGUG
rnacentral:rRNA from 1 species